rnacentral:lncRNA from 1 species
UCACUAGUGGUAAGGAUAGAUAUUUUCGAAAAUGAAAAAAAAAAUUAAAAAGAAGUAAGACAAAACUAAUUGAGCAAGUAAGUUGUGUUGCGAUGCGAUGCAAAUUUCUUUACAGAGUUCUAUUGAAUUUUUGCUUUACUUUAAUUCAGAAAAGGUUAGUAUUCAUGUGUAAACUUUCGUUGCAAUUUUACAGAAGUUUCCUUUGGAUCUCACCAACAAUUGUUUCAAAAUUUCAUCGCAAGAGACUUUUGAGUUUUGACCUCCAAUUUGGAAUUUUGGAGCUUCGUCAGCUUGGACAUUUGCUACCACUCAAGGCCAAUGGAUUCAACUUCCCUUUUAACCUUAUACAAUAUUUUGAACUUCAAAUUUUGGAAGACUUUGCAAAGGUG